rnacentral:rRNA from 1 species
GACGAACGCUGGCGGCGUGCUUAACACAUGCAAGUCGAACGGAAAGGCCCCUUUGGGGGUACUCGAGUGGCGAACGGGUGAGUAACACGUGAGUAACCUGCCCUUGACUUCGGGAUAACUUCAGGAAACUGGGGCUAAUACCGGAUAGGAAUCCUUGCUGCAUGGUGGGGGUUGGAAAGCUUCGGCGGUUUUGGCUGUACUCGCGGCUUAUCAGCUUGUUGCUGGGGUAGUGGCUUACCGAGGCUUUGACGGGUAGCCGGCCUGCGAGGCCGACCGGCCACACUGGGACUGAGGUACGGCCCAGACUCCUACGGGAGGCAGCAGUGGGGAAGAUUGCACAAUGGGCGGAAGCCUGAUGCAGCAACGCCGCGUGCGGGAUGACGGCCUUCUGGUUGUAAACCGCUUUCAGCAGGGGCGAAGCUUGUGGUGACGGUACCUGAAGAGGAAGCACCGGCUAACUACGUG